rnacentral:rRNA from 1 species
UACGGGGGGGAGCAAGCGUUGUUCGGAUUUACUGGGCGUAAAGGGCGCGUAGGCGGCGCAACAAGUCACUUGUGAAAUCUCCGGGCUUAACCCGGAGCGGUCAAGUGAUACUGUCGUGCUAGAGUGCGGAAGGGGCUACUGGAUUCCUGGUGUAGCGGUGAAAUGCGUAGAUAUCAGGAGGAACACCGGUGGCGAAGGCGGCUCUCUGGACCACAAACUGACGCUGGAGGCGCGGAAAGCUAGGGGGAGCAAACAGGA